CAGGCACAUCCUACAUGGCCGGAGCAGGAGGAAGAGAGAGCAGGAGGAAGAGAGAGCAGGGGGAGGUGCCACACACUUUUAAACAACCGGAUCUUGUGAAAACUCACUAUCACGAGAACAUCAAGAGGGAAGUCUGUCCCCAUGAUCCAAUCACCUCCCACCAGGCCCCUUCUCCAACACUGUGGAUUACAAUUUGACAUGAAAUUUUUGCAUUUGGACACAAAUGCAAACCAUAUCAAUGCUGAACCAAUGAAUGAAUAUGAGGAAACAGCUCUUAUUUGGAGUUUCUCAUCUGAAAUGAUAGAAGGCGAAAGGUAGGCAGAAGGGACUGGAGCUAAGCAGAGAGACAGGGGAUUCAGGAGAGGAGUGUGCAUUGGACUUUCCCCCAUGUCCCAGGAGACUAUUCUCAUCUCCACCUAUUAUAAGGCUGGGAAGUGUCUCAGGCCCAGGAUCUUAGUAAGUGGACAGACUCUGCACAAACACUAAAUUCCCUCACAUGACAGGCCUGAUCCUCCUUGGCAUCCAUACCUCUCGUUUAUCAGAGGAGACCACAAGCUCCAGGAAGGACAGCUCCUCUCCCCAGGAGUCGAUCUCCGUGAGGUCGUAGAGAAUGGAGGUCAGGGGUCCAUACGUCCACUGGAUGUGCCUCCGCUUCUGCAUCAGGUGCUGGAACAUCUGAGAGACCACCAGGAUGAGUCAGGGGGCCAACGUGUGAGAAGGUGGUCGAGGAGAACAACUCCAUUGGAUGGAGCCAGUUGCCCACCCCUUGAGACAGACAGACAGUGGGAACCAGCAAACCUCUGCAUCUACAAGCUUUCCCUUUUUUGUCAUCUUUCCUGCUCCAAAACCCCAGAAAGUGCAGAAAGAAGAAAAUAGGCAAAGGAAGCUAGAGCUUUGGGUUAUCACAGCACAUGCAUUAAGGUGCAGUCCAGUAGAAGUUGCCUAAGAACAGACAGGUCAUUUUCCUUGGAUGCUCGAAGCAGUGGAGACUCUAGAAUCCUGGGGAAAGGUGAACGUGAGUUUGGAAGAGACAGUCAUAGCAGAAUGAGGCCAAGAGCAAAGGGGAUCUAAGACAUUCUUUAAGACCAACGUGACUCACACAGCGUGCAGUGACAAAUUGGAAAGAAGUGCCUACUGGACUCGAAUGACCGAGGGUGGACUUGGGCAAGGGUCAGCCCCAGGGCCUUCCUUGCAAUUCACAUCAUGGUGAUUCUCCUGUGAGGAUGGCCCUUGAAGCUCUGCUGGAGGGGAAGAGUUAAUAGGAAGAGAACCUGUAGUCUGGAAAGAGUGGUCUGAGAGUCUCUAAGAAGAGGACCCUAGGCUUGGCUGAAUUCAUCUAACCUGAGUAACUGUCUCAGAUCCUGGAUAGUUGGAGAGCGGGACAGAGGGCACUUCCAUCUGCGGUCCCCCUGCUCCUGGGCCUGCUGAAUCUACUGUCUUUAACCAAGGGGAGUUUGGGAGACCAAAACACAGAGGGAGGAGGAAUGGAUCGACUGCUAGAUCUUUCCUAGGCAUUUUGAAAUUUGUGAAAUUUGUGAGGCACUAAAGUUCUGACUACUCCCUCAGGCUAUUUUUUUUUUUUUUUUUUUUUUUGAGACAGAGUCUUGCUCUGUUGCCUAGGCUGGAGUGCAGUGGUACAAUCUCAGCUUACCGCAGCCUCUGCCUCCCAGGUUCAAGCAAUUCUUGUGCCUCAGUCUCCCGAGUAGCUGGGAUUACAGGCACGCACCACCACGCCCAGCUAAUUUUUUGUAUUUUUAGUAGAGAUGGGGUUUUGCCAUGUUGGCCAGGCUGAUCUCGAACUCCUGAGCUCAGGCAAUCCGCCUGCCUUGGCCUCCCAAAGUGCUGGGAUUACAUUGCGCCCAGCAUCCUCAGGUUAUUUAGAUACAGGUCCCUGCAGGGGGUGGAGAGUUGUGGGGUGAGUUACAGGGUGCCUCUUUCUUCUGCAUUAUACCCUUAGAUGCAAAGGUCUAAACAGCUUGUUUAUGUGGGUGUCUCAAGGCAAAACAGGUUGAGAUACUCAUUCUACAGGACCUCUGUUAAUCUUUGCUUCUACCAUACCCAGAUUUGAACCCAGAAAGAGAUAAAGCUGGAGCCUCUCCAACUAGACAUAUGUGUAUUGGCCCCAAAGGCAAGCACAUGGUGUAGGGGGAAGAACAGAAAGGACAGGCCGAUGAGUGGCUCCUCUGAGGUCCCCACCUCCAAAUCCCUCUCUUCCAAUAGCCCCAGGAGCCAGGGCGAAAAAGUGUUUUUAUUUUAUUUAUUUAUUUUUUUUGAGACGAAGUCUCACUCUAUUGCCCAGACUGGAGUGCAGUGGUGCGAUCUCGGCUCACUGCAACUUCCGCCUCCUGGGUUCAAGUGAUUCUCCUGCCUCAGCCUCCCGAGUAGCUGGGACUACAGGUGCCCACCACCAUGCCUGACUAGUUUUUUUAUUUUUGGUAGAGACGGGGUUUCAGCAUGUUGGCCAGGCUGCUCUCGAACUCCUGACCUCAGGUGAUCCACCCAUCUCGGCCUCCCAAAGUGCUGGGAUUACAGGUGUGAGCCACCACGCCCAGCCAAAGUGUUUUCAUUUAAAGAAGAAGCUUUUAAUCUAAAGGUGGGGCCUGGUUUUACCUGUUAAGGCAGUGCUCCUAGGAGGGGCCUUUGUGAGGAGUCAGUUCCCUGCCCCGUCUCACCCAGGGAAUCAGUCCCAGGGAGCCUGGUGUCCCUGACCAGCCUAGAGUGGUCAGGGCUGAGAUUGCAAAUUCACCCCCAUCCUGAGGCCACUGCACAAACAAAGUCCUUGCCUCCCUGGCCCUCUAUCCCCACUGCCCCUCUGCAGAGGGUCCAAGUUGGGGCUGGAAGCUCACUUUCUCAGAGACCCAGGGGUCCCACUCUAAAGCAGGAAGGUGAGAUUCCACUGGAGGUAUUGGGUGGGGAGAUGAGGAAGCAGAGGGCUUGACAGUAUGAGGGCUCAGAGGUACUUGGGACCAGGCCCAGUGUAAACUGCAAAUGCAGGACCCCUUGUUCAAAAUUAUUAAGAACUUGAAGAUGAGGACAGCAGGGCAUUGAACAAAGCACAGGAAUCUUCUGGAGUACAGGGGAGCCCUUUGUGACUGCUAAUGUCUGCUCAACAACCUCACCCCUCAGGCAGCUGUUGGGUGGGAGGCAAGCCCCAAAACACUUGGAGGAAGAAGCAGCCCACAGGAUUCGUCCCUGCCCCAGCUGCUCUUCCUGGGACUGGACCUCAGGGCUAAGCCAUGAAAUGAUUUACCUGCAGGUGUGCUAGCCCUGCCCGAACUAAGAGCUCUCCAGGAGCAGGCACAAGUCUCAUUCAAUCUUUAUGUCAUUGGGAUCUAACACCCCUCUGCACACAGUAGACUCAAUAAAAGGCAGAUGGACUGAACUCAGAGCCCUCCAGUGUCACCUGAGCUGCCCUCCUCCACUGGUCAGCACCCAGUGUUACACCAAACAAAGCGCUCCUCCCCUUUCCCACACAGUCCACUUUCAUUCAAAUGAAUGGCGUUUCCUUAUCGUGCUUCCACCACCCACAGGAGUGCAUCCCUUCUUCAGCAGCCUGCUUCUGCCUUCCCUCCCCAUCCCACACAACCUGGCUUCUUCCCUCUGGUCCUUUUUGGUCCUUUCACUCCCCCUUGGCUGUCAUUCUGCCUCUGUCCUUAGGUCUACCCUCAAGAUUUUCCUGUGUGGCCCAAAGCCACAUCCUCCA
rnacentral:lncRNA from 1 species